CAACUAGCUCAAUUGGUAGAGCGAAUGACUUUUAAUCAUUUGGUGUCGGUUCAAUUCCGACGUUG
rfam:Oleiphilus sp. HI0009 HI0009_c631, whole genome shotgun sequence.